AUUGAACGCUAGCGGGAUGCUUUACACAUGCAAGUCGAACGGCAGCGCGAGAGAGCUUGCUCUCUUGGCGGCGAGUGGCGGACGGGUGAGUAAUAUAUCGGAACGUGCCCAGUAGCGGGGGAUAACUACUCGAAAGAGUGGCUAAUACCGCAUACGCCCUACGGGGGAAAGGGGGGGAUCGCAAGACCUCUCACUAUUGGAGCGGCCGAUAUCGGAUUAGCUAGUUGGUGGGGUAAAGGCUCACCAAGGCAACGAUCCGUAGCUGGUUUGAGAGGACGACCAGCCACACUGGGACUGAGACACGGCCCAGACUCCUACGGGAGGCAGCAGUGGGGAAUUUUGGACAAUGGGGGAAACCCUGAUCCAGCCAUCCCGCGUGUAUGAUGAAGGCCUUCGGGUUGUAAAGUACUUUUGGCAGAGAAGAAAAGGUAUCUCCUAAUACGAGAUACUGCUGACGGUAUCUGCAGAAUAAGCACCGGCUAACUACGUGCCAGCCGCCGCCGUAACAC
rnacentral:rRNA from 1 species